UUAGUGACUUGCUAUAAGUAUAACUAUGUACAACUCUGCUAUGUAUAUGUAUAGGUAACUCUAACCUUUCGAUGUAAGUGUAUAUUAACUAGUAUUUGAAUGUAACGGCUAGCUAUUCAAUAGUCUCUAGCAUCUACAAGUAUCUUCUGUGAUAAAGCGACCAAUCUGGCAACUCUGGUAUAAUGUUAAGUAUCGAUAUUGAUCGCAGCCAACUUCAAGUAAUCGUAUGUUAAACCCGACGCUAUGUAAAACCAGGCAAUUGCGAAUAAGAAGUAAAAGAGAACGGUCAAGUCUAAUAAAGUUAUUUAAUUCGUGUAACAGUUUAUACUGCUAUAAACUUCAGAAGUGGUCCUGACCCAUAAAAUGGAUCUAAUUGAUGCCCAACAAUUUACGGUCGUCCAGCUCAAACGGUGGUUGGCGGUACUGAACUUGCCGACAAUCGGCAAUAAGGCCGAACUGGCGGCCCGACUAAACGGCGUGGACCCGUUAGUUCGUGGAACUCGCCCGGAGUCCCCAGUACCGUUGGACGCUGAAAACGAAGACUCGGCUGAGCACGUUCAGGAGUUGGAUCUAGAGGAUGACUUGGGGGAGCAUUUCUCUGCGGAGAAUGCCGACCCUAGGUCGGAUCAGAUUCCUGCCGUGGCCGAAGGAGUAUCGUCGCUACAACAAAUACGCGCUGAAAUCGAAGCUGGAAGAAAGGAGCUCCAGAACAUUCUUGGGCAAGUAAGAGCUGCGUCGCAAGCAGUUGCCAAUGACGUCAUCAGCAAGCCCGAAAACUGCAAUCAAGCAGGAGGUAAGCAAGCAGUUCAAUGCGAAAACUUCCAGGAAGCUGUGAGCGGAAAAAUACCAAACGCUGAUGGAAGUGCUCAUAUCGAUAGCGGCACCGAUAUCGAUGUAGGCAACGGUGUUGAGCAACGACGAAUGGCAGUUGUAAACAAAGAAUCAGAAUCGCCAAGUUUGUCACUUUCGUUUGCCAAAGAAAUGAUCAUGGAUUACGAUGGAUCAUCUUGCGCAAACGUUUGGACCCAGCAAGUACGCAACAUUGCUGAAAUGUACAACUUGGAUGCAGUGUGCGUAAAAAUGGUGAUUGUGGCUAAACUAAAAGGCAUCGCCCAGCGCUGGUUGCAUGCAAAUGCAACGCGUAUUAUGGAGCCGGCAGAGAAGCUGUUGGAACAGCUGAUCCUAGCAUUCGGCGAUAAACUGUCCAAAGCAGAGGCGCGACGCAAAUUUGAGGACUUGAAGUGGCAUUAUGGCGAAAAGUUCGCGGUGUAUUUUGAGGCAAAGACAAUGCUGGCAAGCAGCAUCAACAUUGAUCCAGACGAAUUGGUUGACCAGAUAGUCGAGGGAAUACCAGCACAGAAUUUGCGGGAUCAGGCCCGGAUCCAAUGUUUCACAGAUCCGAAGCAAAUUCUCCGUGCGUUUGCUGGUAUCCGUUUGGAUAAGUCAAAUGAGUCGGCGUCAAAGGAGCUCAACAAGAAUAGGAGCAGCACCAGAGGAUUCCGCUGCAGUAACUGCAACGCCAGAGGACACAUCGCUAAGGAUUGUCGAAAACCAGCAAGGAAUCCAGGAUCCUGCUAUGCUUGUGGCAAGUAUGGCCACUUUGUAGCCCAAUGUGAGGAAAGAAAGGGAAAUGCUGUAAAUAAAUAUGUAAGGUAUAUUAAAAUCCAUUUUGACAGUCAAAUUAUAUCUCCUAUGGUUACAGCAUGCAUCUUAGACUCUGGCAGUCCAAUUUCGUUGCUUAAAAUAUCUUUGUUGCCCAGAGAGGCCCAAUUACAUGAAGUCAAAGAACAAUAUUUUGGUAUAAAUAGAAGCCCAUUACAAAUCUACGGAAAAAUUUUAUGUUUUGUAUUAAAAGGAACAAUAAAAUGUUACUUUAACUUAACAGUUGUCGCCAAUGAGUCUAUGAUACAUGAUGUGAUUUUGGGUAGAAAUUUUAUGCAAGCUUGUGAUUUAAAUUUAGAUUUAAGAACUUUAAAGAUGAUAACUGUAGAAGAUACAACCAAAAUGGACACAACGAUUGCCGCUAGGGAUCUGUCUUUGCGCGUCGCUGAAGUAAAUCAUAAUAUUGAGUGUUUAGAUGACUGUUUAACCGAUGUUUUGGAAUUGCCGACUAAAGUUUUAAAGGCAGAACACGCAGUCGUAAAAAAUCAUAAUGAUCGUAAUGAAGAAACGAGUCAAACAGUUAUGAGAAAAAACAGUGAAAAUGUAAGUCAAACAGUUAUGGGACAGAAUAGUAGAAGCAUAGGUCAAACAGUUAUGAGACAAAAUAGUGAAAAUGUAAGUCAAACAGUUAUGGGACAGAAUAGUAGAAGCAAAGGUCAAACAGUUAUGAGACAAAAUAGAGAAAAUGUAAGUCAAACAGUUAUGGGACAGAACAGUAGAAGCAAAGGUCAAACAGUUAUGAGACAAAAUAGUGAAAAUGUAAGUCAAACAGUUAUGGGACAGAAUAGUACAGGCAGAGGUCAAACAGUUACAAGGCAAAAUAACGAAGAUAUUGAUCAGACAGUUAUGAGAUUUAACGGUGAAACAACUGAAUUUACAAAUGCAAAGCAAUACAGUCAAAAUAUACAGAAAACGGUUAUUAAAGAACCAACGACUACAGGUACAAAUGGGCAACUGGAAAUUGAAAAUUUUGAAACCGAAAUACUUAAUAUCGACUUUACAAGCAGCGAAACUAUAGAUUUUAACUGGGACAAAAGCACUACCUAUGAAAUACAAUGUCGUUUCUUAAAAAUACUGGAAAACAGUUAUGUGAAAGCAACUAGACCUGAAAAACCAAUGAUUAGAGCAGAAAUGAAACUAUGUCUAGAUAAUGCAAAACCUUUCAGUUGCAGUCCUCGACGAUUAUCAUAUACAGAAAAGGACAAGCUUCAAAAAUUACUAGACGAAUAUUUGAAAAGUGAGAUAAUAAGACCAAGCGAAUCAGAAUUUGCAUCUCCGAUAGUAUUAGUGAAGAAAAAAACAGGUGAGAUUAGAUUAUGCAUUGAUUAUAGGAAACUGAACAAAGCACUGCUGAAAGACAAUUACCCUCUGCCACACAUAGAUGAUUUAUUAGAUAAAUUAGUUGACAAAAAAGUAUUCUCAAAGUUAGAUCUUAAAAAUGGAUAUUUUCAUGUUUUUGUUGAUAAGGAAUCUGUAAAAUAUACUUCAUUCGUAACACCACUAGGACAAUUCGAGUUUUUAAGAAUGCCAAUGGGUAUCAAAAAUGCACCAGCUGUUUUUCAACGCUUUGUUAAUAAAAUCUUCGAUGAUAUGAUUAGAGAAAGCAAAGUAGUAGUGUAUAUGGAUGAUAUAAUGGUCGCCAGCAAAGAUAUUAAUGAACAUUUAGAAACAUUAGAUGAAAUCUUUAAAAGGCUUACACAGAACAGAUUAGAACUUAGAAUGGAUAAAUGUGAGUUUUUGAAAGCAAAUAUAAAGUAUUUGGGAUUUUUGAUUUCUGAGAAUGGCAUUAGGGCAGAUGAUAAGGGCAUUGAAGCCGUAAAAAAUUUUCCAGUUCCCACGAAGGUUCAGGCAGUACAAAGUUUUUUGGGACUUUCUUCAUAUUUUCGAAGGUUUAUAAAAGAUUUCUCUACAAUAGCAAAACCUUUGUAUGACUUGUUAAAGAAGGACAAACCAUUUCAAUUUGGUGAAGAAGAGAUGAGUUGUUUUCUCACGUUAAAGGAAAAACUUAUUGAGUCACCAGUACUGGCGUUAUAUAAUCACAAGGACGAUACGGAAUUACAUUGUGACGCAAGCGCUCUAGGAUUUGGUGCUGUACUGUUGCAGAGGAAAGAUGAUGGCAAGUUACAUCCUGUGUUCUAUUUCUCUAAGCGUACUACAGCAGAUGAGGCUAAGUUACAUAGUUUUGAGCUCGAGACUUUGGCGGUUAUCUAUGCUCUUCGUAGAUUUAGGAUAUAUUUGCAAGGGAAACAUGUAAAAUUGGUAACCGACUGUAUUGCACUUAAGUUAACACUCCAUAAAGCAGAACUUAACCCGAAGAUAUCAAGAUGGGCUUUGGAGAUGGAAAACUAUGAUCUUGAAAUAUGUCACAGAGCGGGAAAUAAAAUGCAGCAUGUGGAUGCUCUCAGCAGGUACAAUAAUAUUCUAAUAGUGGAAACCAACAGCUUUGAGGAAAAUUUAGUCAUCUGUCAAGGAAAGGAUUUAAAAAUUAAGAAGCUUAAAACGAUUUUAGAGAAGGCAGAACUUAAAUUAUUUGAAAUGAGAAAUGGGGUAGUGUACAGAAAAGCAAAUGACGAUAGGAUACUAUUCUAUGUGCCAGAAGAAAUGGAAGAUCAGGUACUAUAUAAAUACCACAACGAAAUAGGACAUAUAGGAAGAGAUAAAAUGAUGGACAUAAUUUCAAAAACUUAUUGGUUUCCAAGUUUAAAAGAAAAGUGCGUUGCACAUAUAGAAAAUUGUUUAAAGUGUGUAGCGUUUUCACCAAAAUCAGGUAAAGGAGAAGGUUUUUUGCACAGUAUUCCCAAAGGAAACAAACCAUUCGAGUUAAUACACAUUGACCAUUAUGGUCCAGUAGACUCGUCAAGAGCAAAAAAACACAUUUUUGUGGUAGUUGACGGAUUCACAAAGUUUGUAAGACUUUAUUCCACUAAAUCAACAAGCACUAGGGAGGUUAUAACGGCAUUGAAAGAUUACUUUAGGGCCUAUAGUAGGCCAAAAUGCAUAAUUUCAGACCGGGGUAGUUGUUUUACAUCUAAAGACUUCGAAGAAUUCAUGGAAGAAUAUAAUGUGAAGCACAUCAAGAUAGCCACAGGCUCACCACAAGCCAAUGGUCAAGUUGAAAGGAUUAACAGGAGCCUUGGACCAAUGAUAGCAAAAUUAGUUGAUCAAAGUAAAGGUGUAUACUGGGACAAUGUUAUAGAUAAAAUAGAACAUGCUUUAAAUAAUACGUUGCACAGAAGUAUAAGACAACUUCCGAGUAAAAUGCUGUUUGGAGUAGAACAAAAAGGAAAGAUUGUGGAUGAACUUAAGGAAAAGCUAGAGGACAUAAAUGAAAAUAAGAAAUUAGAUAGUUUAACAAAGAUAAGGAAAAAAGCUGAGGCCCACCAAAAGCAAGUUCAAGAUUAUAAUGAAAAAUUGUAUAACAAAAGUCGAGUAAAGGCUAGAAAUUAUAAAAAAGGAGACUAUGUAAUGGUGAAAAAUUUUGACUCGACUGUUGGAACUGCUAGGAAACUGAUUCCCAAACAUAAAGGACCAUAUGUGAUUGCAAAAGCGAUGCGCAAUGACAGAUUUUUAUUAAAAGACGUCGAAGGUUUUCAAGUAGCACGUAGUCCUUAUUUAGGUGUUUGGAGUGCGCAAAAUUUAAGACAUUGGAUAAAAACUAAAAAAGCUAAAAAACAGAAAUAAAAAUGUACCCUAUAACGAGAAAAUACCACUUAAGUAUCUAUAUAUUGUAAAGAUAAAAUAGGCAUAAAUUUUAAGUCAAUAUGUCUUGAUCAGGUGAUCAACCAGUCAGGAUGGCCGAAUUGUAGUAGGAUUAGUGACUUGCUAUAAGUAUAACUAUGUACAACUCUGCUAUGUAUAUGUAUAGGUAACUCUAACCUUUCGAUGUAAGUGUAUAUUAACUAGUAUUUGAAUGUAACGGCUAGCUAUUCAAUAGUCUCUAGCAUCUACAAGUAUCUUCUGUGAUAAAGCGACCAAUCUGGCAACUCUGGUAUAAUGUUAAGUAUCGAUAUUGAUCGCAGCCAACUUCAAGUAAUCGUAUGUUAAACCCGACGCUAUGUAAAACCAGGCAAUUGCGAAUAAGAAGUAAAAGAGAACGGUCAAGUCUAAUAAAGUUAUUUAAUUCGUGUAACAGUUUAUACUGCUAUAAAACAAAAAAUUUAAUUUUGAUUUUUCCGAAACAACCGAUUUGCUGCAUGCACAUCUCCCUCGCACUGCCUUUAGCUAAUUAAGGGGUAUCUAAUAAUCGAGGUCAUCGACUAUACGUUUCUUUCUCGUUUUAAAUUAAUUUCUAUAAGCGUAUAAUUUCGUUAAUUUUCAUUCAUAAUAUUUUUUACUUUUCUGUUGGUUCUGACCAUUUAACGAGAUCCUAUGAUCAGCUUCACUAUAAACUUUACGUCUUUACAAAUAAAAACUUUCCCAAUCACCACAAAAAUGUUCAUGCAUGUAAAGCUUAAUCUAUCUUCGAACAAAGCGAUCGGAUAAAAUUACAAUGUUUUCUGAAGAAACUUCACGUUGUUUCAGAUAUGGACAUGUAAGAUAAGAAAUCGAAUUUAUAUUGUAUAAUUUAACCACGGUAUAGUUAUUGACGAAGGUGGCCAUCACCUAUAGUUGUACAAAACUGUUUAUUAAAGAGGAACAUUGCUUUAAAGGCGAUCUUACCAGCUCUUCCUCACGAUGUUCCCACAGUGUACACCAUGGCAGAGGGAUCCGCCACUAAUUUGUGCUUGAGAUGCCGCAUCCUGUCGCAUCCUGCGUCGAUGCACGGUCCUUCGGCAGGCGGUGGCACCUGCUGGAUGGCAAAGGCAAACACUCGAGGCCGUUUAGGGAGUUCGGCCGAGGGUUGGCAGUAUCUGAAGCGCAGAAAACAAGGCAUCGGGCUUUGGUCAUGAGAGAUACACAUACAGGCACUUGAAUACUUGAGUGACGCUCAAUUUGAUGGACAAGGACGUCGAGAAUCGGCGAGCAAGCCGCCCCGGGACUGCCAGGACAAUGGGAAAAAUCACAGCAGGCAGCGAACAAAUUGCACAACUGCAGCCGCAAAUUCUGUUUCAGGAUAUCCAACCUGCCAACAAGUGGCAAGCACAACAAUGGGUUCGAUUUAACCAUCCUCCCUACCCUCCUGACUCCCCUCACAAUCCUCUGGACGAGCUGGAAUAUUUCACGCUCGAUUUAUCCCGGUUGUUUUCCUUUUUCCAGAGGGUUGGGACAAACAGCAAGUGCCACACACCAAUGCUUCGUGGCUCAUUUCGUUCAGUUUUGUUCAUUUGAUGUGGAUGUGGAUGCGGCUGAUGAUGAUGAUGGUAAUGGUGGUGGUGGCGAUGCCAUUGCCUAAGCCUCUUGUUUGGCGGCAAUAAAAAUCGAGAGCCGUGUGCCUAAGCCUCCUCAGGAACCCAAUCCCCUGCCCCUGCCCCUGCCCCUGCCUCCGCCCCUGCACUCGGCGCAGGACGUCAAUUUCUCAAUUCAUAAAUAAAACCCAAAGCCCUUUCAAUGUGUCAGCACAAGUGUGGAAAUUACGGGGCGGGUGGAAGUGCGGAAUUGUGGAAAAGUGGGCAUCGUGUGUUAUUGUUGUUUAUUUGCCGCUGGAUCUGCCUGAGCCACCUACAACCGCAGCCAAAGGAUUUCCGCACAUCACUCCCCCUUUGGCCGCGCUUCUCUCCACUUUGAAUCGCUCUGCAUCCUCGAGGAGCCCGACUGGGUACUUGGAUCGCAUUAAGUUGAUUUAUUAUGCAGCGCAGAAUUCAAUUAAGUGGGAUGAUUGUCACUUGUCCGUAUGCCACGAAAGCCAAACUCUCUGAAUGUGGGACGGGUUUCCCGCUUGGCUUUUGCUCUCUUAACUGUUGGGGCGUGGCAGCAAUUUGGACAGUUGGCAAUAACCACGUCGGGCUCGGGCUGAUCCGGGAGCUCCCCACCCGUGGUUUCCCCUUUUCCAGCGCGGUCACGCACAAGCCGUGAAAGAUAAUCGUGUAUUUGUUUUGGUUCCGAGGAUUAUGAAGUCAAAAUGCGAAGGGAUUUUCUCUAAUGUGUGUGGGAUGAUUGAACUCUAAAUCGUACAAAAGCUGAAUGAAAUCAAUGAGGAUGCUGAAGCAUCUGGUUUUAUUUUAGAACUGGCAAUGCUAUAAAAAUGUCAAAGAAUCCUUAUUUACUUUUUACUUUGAAAAAAUUGUACUGAUUAAAAAGUUAAUCAUAUUCUUGGAUUUGUUUGUCCUAGGAGGAAAGGCUCGGCAAGUUAAUAAGAGUGUUAAUACUAUCAUAUUUUGAUUACAAUUAUCAACAAUUAAAUUUGCCACGCAGUUGAAAGCGAAAUUACACGAACAUCUUCAAAACAGUAUAUAAUUGAAAAAAAAUUAGUCCUUAAGAAUUCAAUGUUUCAUAUGUCAAAAGUCAUAGCUGUAAUGUCUUGUAUUAGCAUACAUAGUUAAGAAAUUUUAAUUAUAUUAACGGAGGAAAUUGAAUUAUGACUAGGGCACUUAUUUAUAAGUAUUCUUGUACUUGUAGCGUUAGGAAGAGUUAAAACCAUAAUAAAUAAAAUAAAUUAAACCGA